AUGAAACACUCCUACGGGAGGCAGCAGUGGGGAAUAUUGCACAAUGGGCGCAAGCCUGAUGCAGCGACGCCGUGUGAGGGAUGGAGGCCUUCGGGUUGUGAACCUCUUUCGCCAGUGAAGCAGGCCUGCCCCUUGGUGGGUGGGUUGACGGUAGCUGGGUUAAGAAGCGCCGGCUAACUACGUGCCAGCAGCUGCGGUAAUACGUAGGGCGCGAGCGUUGUCCGGAAUUAUUGGGCGUAAAGGGCUUGUAGGCGGCUGGUCGCGUCUGUCGUGAAAUCCUCUGGCUCAACUGGGGGCUUGCGGUGGGUACGGGCCGGCUUGAGUGCGGUAGGGGAGGCUGGAACUCCUGGUGUAGCGGUGGAAUGCGCAGAUAUCAGGAAGAACACCGGUGGCGAAGGCGGGUCUCUGGGCCGUUACUGACGCUGAGGAGCGAAAGCGUGGGGAGCGAACAGGAUUAGAAACCCGAGUAGUCCGAAGUUC
rnacentral:rRNA from 1 species